GAUGAACGCUGGCGGCGUGCCUAAUACAUGCAAGUCGAGCGAACAGACGAGGAGCUUGCUCCUCUGACGUUAGCGGCGGACGGGUGAGUAACACGUGGAUAACCUACCUAUAAGACUGGGAUAACUUCGGGAAACCGGAGCUAAUACCGGAUAAUAUAUUGAACCGCAUGGUUCAAUAGUGAAAGACGGUUUUGCUGUCACUUAUAGAUGGAUCCGCGCCGCAUUAGCUAGUUGGUAAGGUAACGGCUUACCAAGGCAACGAUGCGUAGCCGACCUGAGAGGGUGAUCGGCCACACUGGAACUGAGACACGGUCCAGACUCCUACGGGAGGCAGCAGUAGGGAAUAUUCCGCAAUGGGCGAAAGCCUGACGGAGCCACGCCGCGUGAGUGAUGAAGGUCUUCGGAUCGUAAAACUCUGUUAUUAGGGAAGAACAAAUGUGUAAGUAACUAUGCACGUAUUGACGUUACCUAAUCAGAAAGCCACGGCUAACUACGUG
rnacentral:rRNA from 1 species